rnacentral:rRNA from 1 species
CGGGGAAGCACCACAACAGGUGGAGCCUGCGGUUUAAUCGGACUCAACGCCGGGAAACUCACCAGAUAAGACAGCUGAAUGAUAGUCGGGCUGAAGACUCUACUUGACUAGCUGAGAGGAGGUGCAUGGCCGUCGUCAGUUCGUACUGUGAAGCAUCCUGUUAAGUCAGGCAACGAGCGAGACCCACGCCAACAGUUGCCAGCUCGUCCUCCGGGAUGGUGGGGACACUGUUGGGACCGCCUCUGCUAAAGAGGAGGAAGGAAUGGGCAACGGUAGGUCAGCAUGCCCCGAAUUAUCUGGGCUACACGCGGGCUACAAUGGGUGGGACAAUGGGUAUCGACACCGAAAGGUGAAGGCAAUCUCCUAAACCCAUCCGUAGUUCGGAUUGUGGGCUGCAACUCGCCCACAUGAAGCUGGAAUCUGUAGUAAUCGUGUCUCAAAAUGGCACGGUGAAUAUGUCCCUGCUCCUU